GAAUUUUUUCUCUCGGCCGUCCUGUAACAAUGGACCAUUUCCGACAACGCGUAUGCGCAUGCCCAGCCCUCGAGUCCGCCAUCUUUGAGCGGAAAACAUCGCCAUGGACCCACCUGCGGGCGACUGUCAUGUUCAUUGUGGGGAGAUAAUCGGUUUCAAGGUUACGCGGACGUUUGAGGUCUGGUAAUGAGUACAAUGCGCUUUCACUCUUUUCGCACUCUUCUUCCAAUCUUCUCUUGGUACUUUCCCAUGCAACGUACGUGCCAGUUCGUAAAGCGUCACCAUUAUUGAGGGGAAAGACACGACGUUCGACAUUCCACCGCCAGGGGCGACGCAAAUAUGGAAAAGGUCCAUUGAACCAUCCUGUAUGCAAUAAGGGGAUAAGUCGAAAAAUCCCCAAAAAGAGAAAAGGGGCCUGAUCUGAUUGUCCGUCCCAUUGACACGCGUGCAUUUCCCGUUUUUUUUACCGUGCUGUAGCGGGCCAACAAAUCGCGAUAAGGUUCCAAGUUUUCAUUGGCAGGUGCAUACUGGUAUGUAGAUGUCGUCGCAACAAAAAUAGUAAAAAGAGGAUAAGUCGACUUAUCCGCUUAUUGCGUACGGAGGUUCAAUGGCUGACGGGCCAAAAGCGAGGCGACAUGUUCUCGUAUUGGUGGAAUGCACCAGCUCAACGUAACUUGACAAGACAACAAAAUUUGUAAGUUGCACGUUUCAAUGCCUGUACGAGCAUCAACAUCAAGACCUGACACAAAAUGUCACCAGUACUUGGAGAGUGCCUGGCUGCUGACUUACAACAACAACAAACUCGGAAAACGAAAUGUACAACUUUUAACAUUUUUUUUUAAUCUUUUAGUAUUUUAAUAUUAUCUAUCUUUCUUAAUAUAUAAUCUUUAAACAUCUUUUAAUAUUUUUUUCCUGUCAAGUUAUGUCGAGCCACCGUGUUUUCACCGAUAGAAGACCCCCCCAAGAUACCUGGACAUGUCACCAACCGUGUAUUCACGCGAGCGACAUUCCCCCGGAGGCGGAAGAUGCGAAAAGCGACAUGGUUUUCUGCUGUCGCGUGAGCGCGAGCGCUCAACGUCGUGUCUUCAUGUACACUGCUAACCGCGAGGAAUAUCCUACUACAGAGCCACAAGAUAUUCGGUGGCAGACAGGAAAACACGCUGACGGCGUCGUCUGCUAAGUGUCGUCUGCUAAGCGCGCAGUACGCCACUCCCGAUAUUCCGCACCGUUUUGAAUGCUCAACAUAACAUGGGACGGAACUUCCACUAGAAUAUUAGGAUGUCCCUCGUGUGAAUACAUGGCAAUACCCCUGUUGCACGGGCAGUCUUCAAUCAUAAUUGGUACCAACGGCCAUUUAAAGUGCACGUGGCGCCACCAAGCGUCUAACGCGUCAACUUCUCAAGUGGCACGAUAUCCAAUGCACCUUGACAGGUUGUCGAGCUACACACUUUGUGGCACUGCUUGCACUUCCAAUCACCAUUGACUUAGAUGAUCAUUGAGUAGUGCCCAUGUGACAGGCACGUUGUACUCCUUCCCGUCACAACUGCACUUUUAGAGACAGUUGCCAUGGAAACAAACCGUAGUUGCAGGGUCUCUCUGGUUGAGAUCGUCUGUGGCGCGAUUCAUCAAAGCAGACGGCACCAAGACUCCACGUGACCAUGCGGUGAAAGAGAGGAAAGGAGGUGUUGAGUUUGACUGAGUAAGAAUACCCGCAUUCGUGUUUCCUGUGCCCCCUUCACUUACGUUGACAUACUGAGUCACGCUGUCGUCUGCUUGAGCCAAUCACAGCAGACGAUUUCAAACGGGCUACAUCAUAGCCAAACAAACAUUUCAGUUUCACAGUGCGUGUGUGCGUUUGCAAAUCUACUUUCUCAAAUAAAACACGUUGCGAGAUUUUGCAUUGAGUCGAAGUUUGGAGUAUUGGGCUGUUUGGUGAGGUAGCGUAGUAAGACGAAAAAUGUGCACAGACAGGCAAAAGUGUGAGGGAACGAACCACGUAGGACAAGCGCUAAAUUGCAACCGAGAAAACCACAAGACGAAAGUCACCCUUCAUUGUGACAUACAAAAGAUGUCACAGUGGUGGAACUUCACAUGCAUGCCGUUCGUGGUUUGCUUUUUAUUAUUAUACCACCUCAGUUGAACCUCUGUAUGCAAUAAGCGGAUAAGUCGAACUAUCCACUUUUUAGUAUUUUUGUUGCAACGGCAUCUACAUACCAGUAUGUACCUGUCAAAGAAAAUUUAGAACCGUAUUGCAAUUUAUUACACUCGAAAUUCAAAUUGACUGAAAUUCAUGCGUGUCAAUGGGAUGAACAGCAGGAUCCCUACCUCAUGUAACUGUGUCAGCAGUGCUACUGAGCGCUGUAGUCGGAAAAAAACGUGUGCACUAUGCUAAUAAGUCAUAUCUUGCUGGCCCUACAGAACAUUAUUUUCAAUAUUGUGCUCGUUUAGCAGCACGAUAACCACGAUCUAGGCUGCUCCACUGCACAAAGGUCACCAUGAAAGUCAGAUUCGUAAAAAAAAAAUUUUACUGCACGAAAACCCUGUGUGUGCGGAGUUAUAUGGAGAAAGGGGAUAUGUCAUGCUGCUGUGUUUUGUUUAAUUUCUGCCAAGACACACAUCCAGAAAUGAUGCUAAAGGGACAUGCAUGUAGAGUAGACUCGUGCUUAUUUGUUACACAUUUUGCAUUUGCGUUAUUCGCGGAAGCUCAUCUGCAGUUACUUCACCAAAUAUUCACUCCCAGUUUUCUCUCGGUUUGGAAUUUUUCCGACUUGUCCCCUUAUUGCGUACAGAGGCUCAAUUGCGAGCCAAAAUCUAUUGAUGUUGGAAGAUUCAGAGUGCUUGUUAAUUGGUGGUAGCGUUGGGUCGUCAUUAGAGCCCGAAGUUUUUCGGGAAAUAUUUUUUUUCUAAAUUCCGGUGGGGUGGGGUUGGGGCAAAAGAUCGGGUAAAUAAACGUGUGCUCUCAGUUCACGCGCAGUGAGUGUAAGUUAAAGCAGUAAAAAGUCCAUGCAGCAGUUAAAGCAGUGUAAAGACGGGGGGGGAAGAGGGACGACACAACAAGAAUUCUCGAAACGCAGCGAAAAUUUUUUAUUUACCAAACUCUAUACAGUCAAACCUCGCUUUACGAACACCCUUCGUUUCUCAGAAAAUCGUUCGUAAAUCGAGGUAUUCGUAAAUCGAGGUCCGAGGUCUGCAGUGCACAAAUACCUCACGAAUCCACGGGAAAUUGAUUUGAAUAAGUUUUAUUUUUGAAAAUACUGCGUAAUUGUGCUUUGCACCACACUUUCUGCAGGGACUAUCCUGUUUAGAAGAGAUGACAGAAGUCUGACACUUGACUCAUGCACCCUGUCCUCAAAGUACCGUAUCGCGCGCGGAUGAGACUGUUUCCAACGGCAAAUAUCACGCUUGUCACCGGCUGUCAGGACUGAACGCUUUCUUGGAACGGCAAGAUGUUUCCAUCUCGGAGACCUGGUCCAAACUCACAACCCUCCGGCUGUAAACGCCCGAAUUAUUCUUUCAGGAAAUGGGGAAUCAUGUUUGUGGAACGUAGUGGCGUUGGGACAUUGUAUGUUUGACCUUGGCAGCAUGUACUGAGGAACUUUCAUUAUCCUCCGGUCCAUUGGCCUGUCCUCUGUCCGUUCAUAACGCCCGUUCGUAUAUCGAGGUCAGAAUGGCUUGGCUACUUUGGGUCCGUUCCCUCAUAAUCCGUUCAUAGUUCGGAUAUCGAGGGUUCGUAAAACGAGGUCAAAAUACACGGAAAAAGUUUGGUUCCCUGUGGAGCCGUUCGUAAGUUGAGGGAAUUCGUAUAUCGAGGGUUCAUAAAACGAGGUCCGACUGUAUAUUCAAAAACCUCCGGAGAGGAGGAAGAGGAAGGAGGGAAGGCUCGCUUACGCAGUUGCCACGUGUACUAAUCUCGCAGGUCUCCCUGAGCAACCUACGCCAAGUGUUCUUUUCUUUGCACAAAACUUUGGUCUCGGGGGGGGAAAACCGGCUUACAGCCCCUGCAUUCACGGAGAUGCUGCACGAGUUGGCUCGACACAAAGCUCCGUUCAUUGUUGCGCGAGUGUUCCCGUAAACGGUCAUUGAGGCAGCGUCCCGUUUGCCCUGCAUAGCAAAAGCCGCAUUCAAGGGGGAUAGAAUAGACAACAGAGCGGUUACAGGGCACUAGCGGAUCACGGUGCUUGACAUUUAUCGAACUGACAAGCAUGCAGUAGCUGUGACUAGUUACAUUUAAAAAAAGAGUAGUUGUAACACGGUUACUACUUCUACAGUCUAGCUGUAACUUUAACUUAGUUACAAUUUUUUUCAGUGAGUUACAGUGUUAAGUUUGUGAGUUACUUUUUUUUUAUCGAACUGACUAGCAUGCAGUAGCUGUGACUAGUUACAUUUAAAAAAGAGUAGUUGUAGCACGGUUACUACUUUUACAGUCUAAACUGUAACUUUAACUUAGAACAGUUUAAGUAGAACUAGAACUUUAAAAACAGAAGAAAAUGGUGUUAACUUGCUUAGCUUCAAAGCAUUUGAAAAAACGAUCUCUAUGCCGUGUCAUGACGUGUCAUCAGGGAACUUUCGGGUGAAACGAAAGGCAUAUGAAACAAGCCAUUGCUGCGAGUGACACUGGGACUAGAAACAGGGAUCUUUAUAUUUCUGCACGGAACUGGGGCAGUCAAUGACAGCGGUAUUCAGACACUUGCCCCGCAAAAGCUCGUCUUUGACUCCUGCAGGAGGGGAUUAUAAAAGGAGGACAAAUACGUUGUCACAAAUAGCCCUCUGAUAUUAUGAUUCACUUUUCUGACAGUUUAACUAGAACGACAAGUUGAAGGACCGUAAGGAUUUCGGGUAGAUAUCGGAUUUUACCCGGAUUUUUGAAGGCUUGUUCGGGGGGGACUAACUAUGACUCUGUGGUGUGAAGUAGAGCCCUGCGCGGAUGAGGUUUUUGGCAUCCGCAUCCGACCCGCAUCCGCGCACAUGUUAUUCGCAUCCGAUCCGCAUCCGCACCAUACACAACAGUUUACAUCCGCAUCCGAUCCGCUGAGCAAAACGCACCAUCCGCAUCCGAUCCGCAAAAAUCCGCACGUUUCGAAAGACCGCCGGAAGCAUGUUGGUAUAAUUUCGGAUGCCUCCAUGCUGUCACGGAAGGACUCAGUCAUGACGACAAGCAAAGGUAAACCUUUCAACAAACGGGAUAUGGAGAGACUUUUGGAACGCGUGGAACGCUACCUCGUCGGUGCUCGCGCGGUUCGAGACGCCUAAAUGCCUCCUCUCCCGUCUUGGCGCCCUGCAUGGUCAAAGGUGAACCAGAGCAUGCGCUCGCUGUCGGUUCUCGGCGUGCAAUACAAAUAAAUUGCGGGUGGAAAAAUGACAGCACGCGGUAUAUCCGCAUCCGAUCCGCUACCGAUCCGCUGCCUUCAUAUCCGCAUCCGACCUCGAGCCAUCCGCAUCCGAUCCGCACACCGCAGAAAGUGCUAAAUUUUCAUCCGAAUCCGCAAGUAUAUUGCGGAUAUCCGCGGAUAUCCGCUUCCAUCCGCGGAUGGUGCAGGGCUCUAGUGUGAAGUACUUCGUAUGGUGCAUCUUACUGGCCUACUUAACAGGUUUAUAUCAAGAAAGCAGGGUGUUAAAAAUGACUUAAGUGCUACUUUAACAACCUUGAGCAUGUGGGCUUAACUUAAGUACACUUGGAUUGCCUAGUAUCCCCUUUGCCCCCUCUCCCACCAGAAAUCUCACAACAACCCCCAAAAUAUUUGUGGAAGCGAUCAAGUCUGGAACCCAGCGUUUGAUUUCAACUUCAGAAGGGGAUUGUGCGCCAUCGUUCAACAUCAACUGUGAGAUUAUAUGGUAUCGGCAUUUGUUCGACGUCACACCACAUCCUAGGCUCACGACUCAACCUUGCAUCAUUCUCUGUUCGAUGUCGAAUGAACGGCCAUGGUGCCACGUGACGUUGAUGUUGAGUGAUGGCCUACGACCACUUCUGAUGUGAUGGUGAACGAGUCACCGUGGACCAUCGUGAAUGAAUUCCCCGGCUUGUACUGCUAGGCCGGAGUUAAUCCUGGAGACACUUUCUGGUGAGCAUAAUCUGUUUUUUUGGGGGGGGUUUAUGUCAUUUUUAUUUAUUUAUUUAUUUAUGAUGGAGCGCACACAAUACUGUCGGGCUGUAACUGAUAUUGCAUUUAAGAAAUAUUGCUGCUCUUGCCCUAAAAACAAAGGGCAGUCCAUUGGUUGACCGUUACGUUCUAGGUGGGACCAGUGCCUUAUCUAGAACACGAUGUCUUGAUUUACAGAUAUGGUGUGUGGGGGGUUCAUUGCUACAGUUAUGUUGCAACAGCUUUAUGUAUCAUUGCUGGUGUCACUGAUAACACCGCCCCGUGCCUGUACGGUGCGUUGGGGAAGGAGAAAUGUUUUGGGGUGUCAGCUAUGUCACUCCGGUAUUGCAGUAUUUCCCACGUGUCAGAUCUCUGAUGUCAUUUUGUCAAGGCGAGAAGUGCCCUGCCGUUUUUCCCAACCAGCCGAGUCCUCUUGUCUUGCACACUACGAGGAUGGACUUGGACCAACUUCCAUGGCGUCGGACUGGCCCGUAGGAAAUGUCCUCUGUUUGUGCCAUGGCAUAUAGCCAUGCUUGGACAGUACAACUGCAAAAACAAAGUUUCCCAAGGAGCACACUUGUAAUGCUCGACAAGCGUACGAAGUCGAAGUGUUUGAAGAAGUUGCGUGUUCUUCUUGUCUUGUAUUCUCCCUCAAGCUGGAGGUGACGCUAUCAUCAAGUCAACACCAGAAAACAUAACGAAGUGGGGCACAAGGAGGACUUCUUUGCACACUCCUGGUGUUGCAGUGUCCGUGGACCUGAAGAGAACCCCAGGAAGCGUUGUGGAGCCAAGUGGUGUCUCUAAUGGAAGACUACUGCUUCACGUUUCAGUGACCACAGCUGCUAUGUGUAGCAGUCUCCUAUGUGUUAGAAGAGAGGACAUAUUAGGCAACGCAUCCCCAGAGAAGGAAAUGCAUUCCAAGUCAGUGUGUGUGUGGUUGACCUCCAGUAAAACAUGAAACAGUGGAAGCGGAGAGAACGGCAGCAGCAGCAGCCACGUACGAGUGUUCCGUGUGCUACAGCAUGUUCGUCUCCGAAGAGUACCUGC